UGAAUACGAGACGCUAAGGCGUUGAAGUAGUGUAUGUCAUACUUCCAAGAAAAGCUCGCACUGUCAUAGAUAAAAAACGCCUGUACCAUAACCGACACAGGUGGGUAGGUAGAGUAUACUAAGGGGCGCGAGAUAACUCUCUCUAAGGAACUCGGCAAAAUAACUCCGUAACUUCGGGAGAAGGAGUGCCUUAUUUAUAAGGCUGCAAUAACAAGAUCCAAGCAACUGUUUAUCAAAAACACAGGUCUCCGCUAAGUCGUAAGACGAUGUAUGGGGGCUGACGCCUGCCCAGUGCCAGAAGGUUAAAGAAGUUGGUUAGCAAUAGCGAAGCUGAUAACUGAAGCCCUGGUGAACGGCGGCCGUAACAAUAACGGUCCUAAGGUAGCGAAAUUCCUUGUCGGGUAAGUUCCGACCCGCACGAAAGGCGUAAUGAUUUGGAUACUGUCUCGGAGAGGGGCUCGGUGAAAUAGACUUGUCUGUGAAGAUGCGGACUACCUGCACCAGGACAGAAAGACCCUAUGAAGCUUUACUGUAACUUGAAAUUGAAAUUGGACUUUAUUCGCGCAGUAUAGGUGGGAGGCGUUGAUUGUAAUCUUGCGGGAUUAUUGGAGCCAUCAGUGAGAUACCACCCUUGUAAUGUUAGAUUUCUAACUUUGAAUCAUUAUCUGGUCAAAGAACAGUUUCAGGCGGGCAGUUUGACUGGGGCGGUCGCCUCCUAAACGGUAACGGAGGCGUACAAAGGUUUCCUCUGAACGGUUAGAAAUCGUAUCUAGAGUGUAAAGGCAUAAGGAAGCUUGACUGUGAGACCUACAAGUCGAGCAGGGACGAAAGUCGGUCUUAGUGAUCUGACGGUACUGAGUGGAAAGGCCGUCACUCAACGGAUAAAAGUUACUCUAGGAUAACAGGCUGAUCUCCCCCAAGAGUUCACAUCGACGGGGAGGUUUGGCACCUCGAUGUCGGCUCAUCGCAUCCUGGGGCGGUAGUACGUCCCAAGGGUUGGGCUGUUCGCCCAUGAAAGCGGUACGCGAGCUGGGUUCAGAACGUCGUGAGACAGUUCGGUCCAUAUCCGGUGUAGGCGUUAGAAUAUUGAGAGGAGCCUUCUUUAGUACGAGAGGACCGAGAAGGACAUACCUCUGGUGUACCAGUUAUCGUGCCAACGGUAAACGCUGGGUAGCUAUGUAUGGAGUGGAUAACCGCUGAAAGCAUCUAAGUGGGAAGCCCACCUCAAGAUAAG
rnacentral:rRNA from 1 species